AAGUCGUAACAAGGUCUCCGUUGGUGAACCAGCGGAGGGAUCAUUGCUGGAACGCGCUUCGGCGCACCCAGAAACCCUUUGUGAACUUAUACCUAUUUGUUGCCUCGGCGUAGGCCGGCCUUUUGUGACAAAGGCCCCCUGGAGACAGGGAGCAGCCCGCCGGCGGCCAACUAAACUCUUGUUUCUACAGUGAAUCUCUGAGUAAAAAACAUAAAUGAAUCAAAACUUUCAACAACGGAUCUCUUGGUUCUG
rnacentral:misc_RNA from 1 species